GACGUAGGGGGCGAGCGUUUGUCCGGAUUUAUUGGGCGUAAAGCGCGCGUAGGCGGCCGCGCAAGUCGGAUGUGAAAACCCGGGGCUCAACCCCGGGCGUGCAUUCGAUACUGCGCGGCUCGAGACAGGUAGGGGAGAUCGGAAUUCCUGGUGUAGCGGUGAAAUGCGCAGAUAUCAGGAGGAACACCGGAGUGGCAAGGCGGAUCUCUGGG
rnacentral:rRNA from 1 species